GACGAACGCUGGCGGCGUGCUUAACACAUGCAAGUCGAACGGAAAGGCCCUGCUUUUGUGGGGUGCUCGAGUGGCGAACGGGUGAGUAACACGUGAGUAACCUGCCCUUGACUUUGGGAUAACUUCAGGAAACUGGGGCUAAUACCGGAUAGGAGCUCCUGCUGCAUGGUGGGGGUUGGAAAGUUUCGGCGGUUGGGGAUGGACUCGCGGCUUAUCAGCUUGUUGGUGGGGUAGUGGCUUACCAAGGCUUUGACGGGUAGCCGGCCUGAGAGGGUGACCGGCCACAGUGGGACUGAGAUACGGCCCAGACUCCUACGGAAGGCAGCAGUGGGGAAUAUUGCACAAUGGGCGGAAGCCUGAUGCAGCAACGCCGCGUGCGGGAUGACGGCCUUCGGGUUGUAAACCGCUUUCGCCUGUGACGAAGCGUGAGUGACAGUAAUGGGUAAAGAAGCACCGGCUAACUACGUG
rnacentral:rRNA from 1 species